GACGAACGCUGGCGGCGUGCUUAACACAUGCAAGUCGAACGAUGAAGCCUAGCUUGCUAGGUGGAUUAGUGGCGAACGGGUGAGUAAUACGUGAGUAACCUACCUUUAACUCUGGGAUAAGCCCGGGAAACUGGGUCUAAUACCGGAUACGACCAAUCUCCGCAUGGGGUGUUGGUGGAAAGCGUUAUGUAGUGGUUAUAGAUGGGCUCACGGCCUAUCAGCUUGUUGGUGAGGUAACGGCUCACCAAGGCGACGACGGGUAGCCGGCCUGAGAGGGUGACCGGCCACACUGGGACUGAGACACGGCCCAGACUCCUACGGGAGGCAGCAGUGGGGAAUAUUGCACAAUGGGCGCAAGCCUGAUGCAGCGACGCCGCGUGAGGGAUGACGGCCUUCGGGUUGUAAACCUCUGUUAGCAGGGAAGAAGAGAGAUUGACGGUACCUGCAGAGAAAGCGCCGGCUAACUACGUGCCAGCAGCCGCGGUAAUACGUAGGGCGCGAGCGUUGUCCGGAAUUAUUGGGCGUAAAAGAGCUUGUAGGCGGUUUGUCGCGUCUGCUGUGAAAGGCCGGGGCUUAACUCCGUGUAUUGCAGUGGGUACGGGCAGACUAGAGUGCAGUAGGGGAGACUGGAAUUCCUGGUGUAGCGGUGGAAUGCGCAGAUAUCAGGAGGAACACCGAUGGCGAAGGCAGGUCUCUGGGCUGUAACUGACGCUGAGAAGCGAAAGCAUGGGGAGCGAACAGGAUUAGAUACCCUGGUAGUCCAUGCCGUAAACGUUGGGCACUAGGUGUGGGGGACAUUCCACGUUUUCCGCGCCGUAGCUAACACAUUAAGUGCCCCGCCUGGGGAGUACGGCCGCAAGGCUAAAACUCAAGGAAAUUGACGGGGGCCCGCACAAGCGGCGGAGCAUGCGGAUUAAUUCGAUGCAACGCGAAGAACCUUACCAAGGCUUGACAUAUACUGGACCGCAUCAGAGAUGGUGUUUCCCUUCGGGGCUGGUAUACAGGUGGUGCAUGGUUGUCGUCGGCUCGUGUCGUGAGAUGUUGGGUUAAGUCCCGCAACGAGCGCAACCCUCGUUCUAUGUUGCCAGCACGUUAUGGUGGGGACUCAUAGGAGACUGCCGGGGUCAACUCGGAGGAAGGUGGGGAUGACGUCAAAUCAUCAUGCCCCUUAUGUCUUGGGCUUCACGCAUGCUACAAUGGCCGGUACAGAGGGUUGCGAUACUGUGAGGUGGAGCUAAUCCCUAAAAGCCGGUCUCAGUUCGGAUUGGGGUCUGCAACUCGACCCCAUGAAGUCGGAGUCGCUAGUAAUCGCAGAUCAGCAACGCUGCGGUGAAUACGUUCCCGGGCCU
rnacentral:rRNA from 1 species